GGAAGGGCCAUAGCUCAGUGGUGGAGCUUGCCUUGCAUGCAGAAGGUCCCAGGUUCAAUCCUUGGUCGAGACCCCUGCCU